GGGGGGAGGCGGGAUCCUGGGCUGUGUCCCCGGCGCCCUGUGCUCCGGGGCUUGUGCUGCUGGAUUCGCGCUCCCGCCCCGCAGCCCCCU
rnacentral:pre_miRNA from 1 species